UACCCUAUUAUUCUUAUACAAAAAAUAUUUAUAAAGCACUAAUACCAUAAGGUAAAAACUUAAAGAAUAUGGCGGCUAAAUUUAACUUCAGGGGAACUUACCAAAUAAUAGAUAACCACCAAGAAACCUUUCUUAUUUUUAUAGUUUGUAUACCGUCAUCAUCAGAAUAUUCAUGAAGUAUAUUCAAGUUGUUUUAACAAAAUGAUAGAUCAUGGUGCAGCUAAUAAAUAAGUUACUGGCGAGUUACAAUAAUUAAGAUUUCAAAAACUAAAUUAACAUAAGUUGAAGUUGGACUUGAAAGUAAUUAAAAUUCUAUUUAAAUUUUGAAUUUUUAAAAUUUAGUGU
rnacentral:rRNA from 1 species